rnacentral:rRNA from 1 species
UACGAAGGGGGCUAGCGUUGUUCGGAUUUACUGGGCGUAAAGCGCACGUAGGCGGUUUGUUAAGUGAGAGGUGAAAUCCCAGAGCCUCAACUCUGGAACUGCCUUUCAUACUGGCAAGCUAGAGUCCGGAAGAGGUAAGUGGAACUCCUAGUGUAGAGGUGGAAUUCGUAGAUAUUAGGAAGAACACCAGUGGCGAAGGCGGCUUACUGGUCCGGAACUGACGCUGAGGUGCGAAAGCGUGGGGAGCAAACAGG